GUGCACCUCGCGACUGUCCUCGAGGAGGCAGCGCGUUUCCGGGUUUUAGACACGGUCCGGGGGUUGGGCCUGAGCGACGUCGCGCACCAGAAUGAGAGACGUGACAUAAGAGGUCCCAAGGGAGCAAACCUGAAAGCCUGUGCCUCCUGAACACACUGCCGGGGGCGAGACAACUUUAGACCCUGUGCCCAGCAGAUUGAUAAAUGAAGCAUAAAGCAAGACCAGCUGCUGUGGUUUCCAGGAUGCACUUGGCUUCUCAUCCUUUAGAACCUGGAGCAUUUUUUGCUGUUUGUUCCUGAUGUGUCCACCAGAGACCAGUCCUAUCAGAGUCAUUCUUGGUAUCCACAGGGUUUAAGAACAUGGACAUUGCCACCCGACAAACCUGGGAUUGAAUGGGGACAAUAACAAUCCACAUGCCAUGGAGUUGCAUGGAGAAUUAAAUGAAACAAUGCACAUGGAGUGCUGAGCUCUAUGCCUGGCUCUUACCAAGUGCUCGCCCUUGCUCUUAUGGAGUUCUGAAGACUAAAACGUCUUGUAAAAAUUUCACAGGUUUCCAGAUAAAGAGGAGAAGCAUCUGAAAUGCCUCAUCUACACCUGGGCCUCGUGCAUGUUACUAGAUCCAAUACUUAAGAGCCAAGGAUAUACAGAAGGAUAAUUUGAGGGGAGGAAGUGAGUGUGUGUGGGUGUGUAUGUGUGAAUUUUUGUGGCCAGAGAGUGGAUUUGAUAGAGUUUUUCCAAGUAUGACUGCUAAUAAUUCCUCCUGUCGCAGCCACUCCUCCCAUUAAGAAGCAGAGUCUCUUUCCUCUCCCCUUGGAUCUGGGCUGGCCUUAUAUGACUUUCUUUGGCCAAGAGAAUACAAUGAAAGUGAUAUUCUGGGAGUUUCAAACCCUGGCUUUAAGAGACCUUGUAGUUUCCGCCUUCUCCCUUUUGGGAUCCAGUCACUGUGUAAAAAAGGUUGGGCUGGACCCCUGAAUGAUGAGCAAUCACAUGAAGAGAGGGAGCCUUCAGCCAUUUCAUUUCCCUGAGCCGAGGUGACAGACGUGUGGGUGAAGCCACUCAGACAUUCCAGCCCCGGCCACACUCACAGUUGAAUACAAUCACAUGCCUGACCCCAGCUGACAUCAUGGGGCAGCAGAAGAACUAUCCAACUGUGCCCUUCCCAAAUUGAAGAAAUGGGAGAAAAUAAAUGAUGGUUCUUUUAAGCCACGAAGUUUAUGGUGGUUUGUCAUGCAGCAAUAGAUAAUUGAAACAGCUAUCAAAGUUCAAGGUAUUUUCUGGUCUUUAACUCUAGUCCAUGGGCUGUGAAGAGGUUGCAAGUGUCAGACAAAGCCGCCAAGUUUUCAAGGAGACUAAAUUUCAUAAAAGCUGGACCCAGUAUGCCACCGUCAUUGUUCUGUUCACAGAGCUUAACAUAGUACUGGCACAUAAUAGACACCCAAAUAUUUGUUAAAUGAAUCAUUAAAUAAAUGAAUAGAGAUAAGACCCGAUACCAUUAAGAAGACAGACAAAAAGAAGAUACUUUAAACAGAGUUUGUCCAUUGCAUUUUCUUUUUCAAAAAGUUACUCUUUAUUGUUUGAAAAAGUGAUGUCUCAGAAGCCAGGGUAUGUUCUGAAGGGAAAAAUGUUUAGGAGUGAGGCAAUGGUCUGCCUUAACUCCUUUUCGAUGUCCUUCCUAUACACAGACAAAUGCGGGUUACUCUGUAAAGUGCCUGGUCAGUGCCCCAAUACCUGCUGGUAUAUCAAAAUAAGGAUAUUUUUCUAUUAUUGGAAGAGCUAUAAAGCACAUAUGUUUUCUGUAGGGCUAGAGUCAGAGUUAGUAUUAAGGGGACCAAAGUAGAAUAUCCAAUAGUCAGUGUUAGGUUGGGGAUUGAAACAGGCAAAGCAGUCUUGUCAUGUUAGGUCUUUUCCUUUCUAUCACUCUCUAGUCCACUCUCUAGCCAAGUCACAAUUUCAGAAUGCCACUUGGACACAGUGAGUGCCUGGUCUGUCUGUUCUGUGGUUCUCCCAGAAGCACCCUGCCCAACCUUUAUUUCUCACAGUUGUAAGUUCAUACAGCAUACCUCUCUACUGAGAUGUGAAAGGAGACAUAAGUACCAUCUAAAAUAGCUCCAGGAGAGAUUUACGACAUGAAAAGCUUGUAGACAAUAAUGGAAACUUUUCUUUUAGAGUGCAGUUACUUGUAUGAUCUGUAGCAGUGCCUUCUGGGGAAAUGUCUUGGACAAAAUAUCUUUAUUCCAAAGAACAGCAAUAUUUGUAAUUAGGAUAAAUGAAAUAAGGGGAAAGCCUUUGGACAAUUGGAAGAAUGGGGUGGUUUAAAGUCAAACCUAUAAUUGUUAACAUUUUUCUGUUCUAUAUUAUUAAGAAAACAGUGCUUAAACAGAUUAAAAAUAGAGAAGGUUGCUUAAAAAUUAAAGCCAUUGAUUUAGAUCUCUACUUGAAAGGUCAGUGUGUGGGAGAUGAGAAAGGCACUGUAGUGUGCAGAGUGCUCAGCAAAAAACAUGUCAGCAGCAGGACCUACAAAGCUCACAUCAACUAUUUACAUCACCAACAUCUAGUGGCUGGUCAUUUCACUUAUCAAAAAAAGUAAGAAAGGUAUUUUCUUUGGACAUUCUUUGAGUGUAGUAACAAUAAGGUUUGGGACUCAAUUGUUAGAAACUGAUAAUUAAAGCUGGUUUGUCAUGUUCACUAAUUAUUCUAGAUAGUUAGCCUCCCUGAAGCUUUAUAUAAUUCUCCCUUUGUUACAAGCUUUUGUUUCUCCCCAUGGGCGUUCUGAAUCCAGACAGGUAAAGAACUGAAGUGCUUGGAAACCAAUGUGUAUUGUAUUGUAUGUACAGCCAAGCAGAUGUUUGCCUUUGAACUUGAAAAAAUUAUAAAAAAACAAAAAACUUUCUGUACAUUAGAUGGGCUCAGCUACUUAGAGGUUUAAGCUCUACCACCUGGGUAAGGAGAUUUCUUGGAUAGAAGGAAAAAGUGAAGAAAACAAAAAAUGAAAAAGGAUACUUUAGUAUUUUCUUCAGGAACCUACUUAACCCUGGGAAAGGGAGGAGGUUUUUAUUCAGCAACUCCUAAUAAUCACCUGAUAUUACUGUCAGGCUGGCCAAUAUCUGCCAACAUUGCUGAUCUGUUCAUUCAUCACUAGAGAAAAGUAGAGGGACAUGAUAUUUAGAGAAAUAGCAAAACUAUCUCCCAUUUUCUUUCUUCAGCUGAUGGAGGUGUUUGUGGGCCAGUCUCAUAUUCCAGCACUUUAUUGCUGGUGAUGCACAUCCUCUUUGCUCCAAAAUAACUCUGCCAGGGGAAUUGAAAAGGAUCCUUCCUCGUGCCUGACAUCAACAGGGCAUAAGUGAACCCAUUUUCUUCCCCGGAAGUGGAUUUCAGAACUUCUCAGAUGAUGGAAGAGUAAUCCUCACUUAGGGUAGGCUCCAGGGGAGGGGCAAAGAAGGACAUUCUUAUAACAGGGACUCUGGACAAGCUCAGCCACCUGAGAAACAAACAUGGGACAUUUUAUCCCUCCUCAAUCUACUUCCCUUCAUUUAACUUCAUCUUCUCUUUGCAUUUUCCCACCAAACAGUAGUUGAUAUUCAAUUGAGUACAGCUCAGGUCUUAUCAUGCAAUCUAGUGGAACACCUAGAAAUCAGGGACUCCUUGUCCUUGGUUAUCUGUAAAAUAAAGAAAUGUCAAAUCCUGUGUGGACAGGAUUUUCAUCUUUGGAAACCAAAGUAGGAGUAGGCCUUUCUCCCACUCUUUCCAAAUUGCUUUCCAUUUAAUUUUCCACUGUGGCCCUUGCCUCCCACAAGCUGACCAGAACCAUUCACAAAAUCAGCUUCCGAUAAAUACCAACAUUGAAGGUUUAGCGGGUUGCUAACUCUUGUCGUAUAUAAAUGCCAAGUUUUAUGGAGACCUAGAGAUCUCUAAGAACACUGUAAAUAUCCCUGGUUUAAUUAGUAGUUUUGGAGUUAGGUAAUGGCCUGUGGUUUCUAAGCUAGGUCUCUUGGGGUUUCUAGUCUUCAGGGACUGCAUGCAACUAAG